UACGGGAGGCAGCAGUGGGGAAUAUUGGACAAUGGGCGAAAGCCUGAUCCAGCCAUGCCGCGUGUGUGAAGAAGGUCUUCGGAUUGUAAAGCACUUUAAGUUGGGAGGAAGGGCAGUAAGUUAAUACCUUGCUGUUUUGACGUUACCAACAGAAUAAGCACCGGCUAACUUCGUGCCAGCAGCCGCGGUAAUACGAAGGGUGCAAGCGUUAAUCGGAAUUACUGGGCGUAAAGCGCGCGUAGGUGGUUCGUUAAGUUGGAUGUGAAAGCCCCGGGCUCAACCUGGGAACUGCAUCCAAAACUGGCGAGCUAGAGUAUGGCAGAGGGUGGUGGAAUUUUCCUGUGUAGCGGUGAAAUGCGUAGAUAUAGGAAGGAACACCAGUGGCGAAGGCGACCACCUGGGCUAAUACUGACACUGAGGUGCGAAAGCGUGGGGAGCAAACAGGGAUUAGAUACC
rnacentral:rRNA from 1 species